CAGUCGCCGCGGUAAUACGUAGGGUGCAAGCGUUAAUCGGAAUUACUGGGCGUAAAGCGUGCGUAGGCGGUUCGUUAAGUCUGUUGUGAAAGCCCCGGGCUCAACCUGGGAAUGGCAAUGGAUACUGGCGAGCUAGAGUGUGUCAGAGGAUGGUGGAAUUCCCGGUGUAGCGGUGAAAUGCGUAGAGAUCGGGAGGAACAUCAGUGGCGAAGGCGGCCAUCUGGGACAACACUGACGCUGAGGCACGAAAGCGUGGGGAGCAAACAGGAUUAGAUACCCCCGUAGUCCCUGUCUCUUAUAC
rnacentral:rRNA from 1 species